GGAUGUGUGAGAGACCUGGCUGUGACAUCCGUCACCCCAUUGAUCGCCAGGGUUGCUACAUUCGGCUGAUCUGGCUGGCUAGGCAGGUGUCCCCUUUCUCCCUCACUGCUCCAUGUGUGUCCCUCCCGAAGUGGUGCGCUCAGUCGAAGAGGAUGGCCUUCCCUGAAAAGAGAUGAACCAGUCUUCGGUCAAGAGUAUGUGAGUAGCUGUGAUCCCCUGCUCUCAACAAGUAAAUUCUCGACAAGUAAAGCCUCGGUGGUGAGACAGUAGACAGAGCACUGGACUUUCAAGCAUGAGCUAUUGAAUUCAACCCCAGGUAUUGCAUGUGCCAGAGUGAUGCUCU
ensembl:misc_RNA 7SK 7SK RNA